rnacentral:lncRNA from 1 species
GUUUUGUUCUUUCUCUCAGAGGGGAAGGAAAAUCUAAGCAAGAAUGCUCAAGGAGGCAUUUUGAGGCCCCUGUGGAGUGGAGGUGCCCCCUUUGACCUUUUCAUCAGUCUUUUCAUUCCUCACCAGGAAGAUUCCACAAAGACAAUUUGAGAAUCUUAUGUGAAGCAGAACUAAGCUCUUGCAGUUAGUUAUAUGUGAUGACAGAAACAGAAUUACAUGGAGGAUCAUAUGAAGACACUGAGGAAGAACUCCAAGUGAUGAUGCAGGCAGAGAUUGGAGUGAUGCAGCUGCAAGCCAAGGACUGCUAGCCACCACCAGAAGCUAGGAAGAGGCAAGAAGGAUUCUACCCAGAGUGUCAGAGGGAGCAUGGCCCCACUGACAUCUUGAUUUUGGACUUUUAGCCUCAAGAAUUGUGAUAGAAUAAAUUACUAAAGUUUUCUUAAAGGAAUAAACUGAAAAUAAUGGAUAUAAAUAUUGCAUUUGUCUGUCUCAGUAAUGAUAGCAAGACUUGAUAACUGGGACAUGGAGAGAAACAAAGUCCUUUUCCCCUUUUUUUAUACUCCCAUAUUUUAUUUCUAGAAAUGACACAUAAAUAACAGACUCAGAAAGAGAAUAAUAGAAUGCUUCAGCUUUAUAAAUGGUGAAAUUUAGGAAGCACUAAAGAACUAGUAACUUUCUGCUCAUUUUCAGUCAAACCAUUGGAGGCAUUGCUACUCAGGAGGCAGAGAUGUUGGUUAUACCUAAUUUAUUGCUGUUAGAAAAACUCUGUGGCCUACAGGAUGGUGGCC